CGGGACACGUGGUAUCCUGUCUGAAUAUGGGGGGACCAUCCUCCAAGGCUAAAUACUCCUGACUGACCGAUAGUGAACCAGUACCGUGAGGGAAAGGCGAAAAGAACCCCGGCGAGGGGAGUGAAAAAGAACCUGAAACCGUGUACGUACAAGCAGUGGGAGCACGCUUAGGCGUGUGACUGCGUACCUUUUGUAUAAUGGGUCAGCGACUUAUAUUCUGUAGCAAGGUUAACCGAAUAGGGGAGCCGAAGGGAAACCGAGUCUUAACUGGGCGUUAAGUUGCAGGGUAUAGACCCGAAACCCGGUGAUCUAGCCAUGGGCAGGUUGAAGGUUGGGUAACACUAACUGGAGGACCGAACCGACUAAUGUUGAAAAAUUAGCGGAUGACUUGUGGCUGGGGGUGAAAGGCCAAUCAAACCGGGAGAUAGCUGGUUCUCCCCGAAAGCUAUUUAGGUAGCGCCUCGUGAAUUCAUCUCCGGGGGUAGAGCACUGUUUCGGCAAGGGGGUCAUCCCGACUUACCAACCCGAUGCAAACUGCGAAUACCGGAGAAUGUUAUCACGGGAGACACACGGCGGGUGCUAACGUCCGUCGUGAAGAGGGAAACAACCCAGACCGCCAGCUAAGGUCCCAAAGUCAUGGUUAAGUGGGAAACGAUGUGGGAAGGCCCAGACAGCCAGGAUGUUGGCUUAGAAGCAGCCAUCAUUUAAAGAAAGCGUAAUAGCUCACUGGUCGAGUCGGCCUGCGCGGAAGAUGUAACGGGGCUAAACCAUGCACCGAAGCUGCGGCAGCGACGCUGAUGCGUUGUUGGGUAGGGGAGCGUUCUGUAAGCCUGUGAAGGUGUGCUGUGAGGCAUGCUGGAGGUAUCAGAAGUGCGAAUGCUGACAUAAGUAACGAUAAAGCGGGUGAAAAGCCCGCUCGCCGGAAGACCAAGGGUUCCUGUCCAACGUUAAUCGGGGCAGGGUGAGUCGACCCCUAAGGCGAGGCCGAAAGGCGUAGUCGAUGGGAAACAGGUUAAUAUUCCUGUACUUGGUGUUACUGCGAAGGGGGGACGGAGAAGGCUAUGUUGGCCGGGCGACGGUUGUCCCGGUUUAAGCGUGUAGGCUGGUUUUCCAGGCAAAUCCGGAAAAUCAAGGCUGAGGCGUGAUGACGAGGCACUACGGUGCUGAAGCAACAAAUGCCCUGCUUCCAGGAAAAGCCUCUAAGCAUCAGGUAACAUCAAAUCGUACCCCAAACCGACACAGGUGGUCAGGUAGAGAAUACCAAGGCGCUUGAGAGAACUCGGGUGAAGGAACUAGGCAAAAUGGUGCCGUAACUUCGGGAGAAGGCACGCUGAUAUGUAGGUGAAGCGACUUGCUCGUGGAGCUGAAAUCAGUCGAAGAUACCAGCUGGCUGCAACUGUUUAUUAAAAACACAGCACUGUGCAAACACGAAAGUGGACGUAUACGGUGUGACGCCUGCCCGGUGCCGGAAGGUUAAUUGAUGGGGUCAGCGCAAGCGAAGCUCUUGAUCGAAGCCCCGGUAAACGGCGGCCGUAACUAUAACGGUCCUAAGGUAGCGAAAUUCCUUGUCGGGUAAGUUCCGACCUGCACGAAUGGCGUAAUGAUGGCCAGGCUGUCUCCACCCGAGACUCAGUGAAAUUGAACUCGCUGUGAAGAUGCAGUGUACCCGCGGCAAGACGGAAAGACCCCGUGAACCUUUACUAUAGCUUGACACUGAACAUUGAGCCUUGAUGUGUAGGAUAGGUGGGAGGCUUUGAAGUGUGGACGCCAGUCUGCAUGGAGCCGGCCUUGAAAUACCACCCUU
rnacentral:rRNA from 1 species